rnacentral:rRNA from 1 species
UACGUAGGGUGCAAGCGUUGUCCGGAAUUAUUGGGCGUAAAGAGCUCGUAGGCGGUCUGUCGCGUCGGCUGUGAAAACCCGAGGCUCAACCUCGGGCCUGCAGUCGAUACGGGCAGACUAGAGUGUGGUAGGGGAGACUGGAAUUCCUGGUGUAGCGGUGAAAUGCGCAGAUAUCAGGAGGAACACCGGCGGCGAAGGCGGGUCUCUGGGCCGUAACUGACGCUGAGGAGCGAAAGCGUGGGGAGCGAACAGG